GUAGCACAACUGAAGGAGAUACGUAAAGUUACUUUAUCUCGGUUAUUCUGUGAUAACACCAAUGUCAAAGAAGUUCAACUCGUAUCCUUCGUAAAGCCAGCUAAUUGGAAUCCAUUUGAAGAUUGCUCAAAAGGAAAAUUACCAAAAAUGAAUCUAAGUGCAUGGAAAAAUGAGCCGGUUUGGACGUAAUUACUUUGUUCAAAUAUAUUUUUAUUCAAACUUCUGUAUGUAACAUAAAUAAACUAAGUAUUUAUAAGAAAUA